GCGUGGCUGUAGUCCCCAACUGUACUGAAUCAUUUUGCUCGGUCCUCAAGGCACUGUUUCCAUUUGUCUACAACGACCUCGUUCAAGAUCAUGCUGGUCCAAGUGGUUUUGUCAAAGUCCCUACU